rnacentral:rRNA from 1 species
UCUCAGUUCGGAUCGGAGUCUGCAACCCGACUCCGUGAAGCUGGAUUCGCUAGUAAUCGCGCAUCAGCCAUGGCGCGGUGAAUACGUUCCCGGGCCUUGUACACACCGCCCGUCAAGCCAUGGGAGCCGGGAGCGCUUGAAGUGCGUCGCCGCAAGGCGCGCCCUAGAGCAAAACCGGUGACUGGGGCUAAGUCGUAACAAGGUAGC